GACGAACGCUGGCGGCGUGCUUAACACAUGCAAGUCGAACGGAGUGGCGAACGGGUGAGUAACACGUGGGUGAUCUGCCUUGCACUUCGGGAUAAGCUUGGGAAACUGGGUCUAAUACCGGAUAGUGCAAGAGGAGCUCGCGGCCUAUCAGCUUGUUGGUGGGGUAAUGGCCUACCAAGGGGUAGACGGGUAGCGGGCCUGGGAGGGUGUACGGCCACAUUGGGACUGAGAUACGGCCCGGACUCCUACGGGAGGCAGCGGUGGGGAAUGUUGCACAAUGGGCGGAAGCCUGAUGCAGCGACGCCGCGUGUGGGAUGACGGCCUUCGUGUUGUAAACUCCUUUCGACAGUGACGCGGUACCUGUAUAAGAAGCACCGGCUAACUACGUGCCAGCCGCCGCGGUAAUAC
rnacentral:rRNA from 1 species